UGGCAUGGCUCAAGUAGUAGAGCACCAGCCUGGCAAGCCUGAGGCCCUGAGUUCAAACCUCAGUACCA
rnacentral:tRNA from 1 species